CCUAAAAUUAUGGCCUAACCCUAACCUAGUACGCAUAUUACAUUCCGAUGUCCGCCAUCUUGGUUCGCAUACUUCGGGAGCCCCUAUAUUUGUUAUUAACAAUUUACGCGGUACGAAAACAAUCGAAAGAUCAUAAAAUAGUAUGACGAGCUGUAUAUUCUCCGAGAAAAGUUUACACAUUGGGAACUAGGCAAUAAGUGCUUAACGAUAUCUGAAUAUCAGACUGAUGUGACUGGUUCAUUGUCUAUUCAACAAAUGCUUCACGAAUCACGAUGCUUACCUUAUAUAACAUAUAUAUAUAUCAGAAAUAUCCAUGGAAAUUUGUUAUAGAACUUCAGAGUUGGUAUAGGGAGCCGAAGGCAAAAUUAUUUACGACCAGCAGUCGGAGCAGAAUUUUUGUUUAACCGAAUUGCCUCUUCUUUGUGCGGGUAGCCGAUCAAUAUAUAUUUUCAACCAAGUCGGGAUGUAUAUUCAGUAACAAAUAUUUUCAGCAUAUGAAUAUAUGAAUCAACCAACAACAUAUAAGGGAAACUAGGAAAAGUUCAAAAGGGUCCAUUAUAACUUGUAUCUACUAUACUUCGACUUCCCGAAGUACGCGAUUGUGUUGCUAGCUUUAUAUUUCACUUUCGAUUGAAUUUAAAAAUAUAUAUAUAUGAGUUUGGUGUUUUUGGAAUUAUUAACUGAUGAAAG